GACGAACGCUGGCGGCGUGCCUAAUACAUGCAAGUCGAACGCAGUGGGGACGGGUGAGUAACACGUGGGUAACCUCCCAUCAGAGGGGAUAACACUUGGAAACAGGUGCUAAACCGCUACUGAUGGAUGGACCCGCGGUGCAUUAGCUAGUUGGUGAGGUAACGGCUCACAAAGGCCACGAUGCAUAGCCGACCUGAGAGGGUGGGCGGCCACACUGGGACUUAGACACGGCCCAGACUCCUACGGGAGGCAGCAGUGGGGAAUCUUCGGUAAUUGACGAUAGUCUGACAGAGCAACGCCGCGUGAGUGAAGAAGGUUGUCGGAUCGGAAUACUCUGUUGUUAGAGAAGCGGUAUCUAACCAGAAAGCCACGGCUAACUAGGUGCCAGCGGCCGCGGUAAUCC
rnacentral:rRNA from 1 species